rnacentral:rRNA from 1 species
UACGUAGGAGGCAAGCGUUAUCCGGAAUGACUGGGCGUAAAGGGUGCGUAGGUGGUUUGGCAAGUUGGUAGCGUAAUCCCGGGGCUCAACCUCGGUGCUACUACCAAAACUGUUGAACUUGAGUGCAGGAGGGGUGAAUGGAAUUCCCAGUGUAGCGGUGGAAUGCGUAGAUAUUGGGAAGAACACCAGUGGCGGAGGCGGCUUACUGGACGGUAACUGACGCUGAGGCAUGAGAGCAUGGGGAGCAAACAGG